rnacentral:lncRNA from 1 species
CUCCACCCACUCCCCUCUCUCCUCCUCCGCUUAUCCCCUCACCCAGAUCCCUUUCCCCUCCUUCCGAGCUCUGCCAUGGACGCGACGCCGAGACCGACGUAGCCGCAGCCACCACCGUCCCUGAACCCCUCCGAUGCGUCCAUGUCCCCUACGACAUCUACAUGGGCGGGCUCGAGCUGGGCGUCCCUGCAUCGAGCGGAUCGACGCCAUCCUCCUCCUCGAGCACCACCGCCUUCUUCUUCAACUUCGUCGUCGUCCUAUGCUUUGACCCCUCCCCGAGCAUGCUCUUGCACAACUACAGGUCCGGUGAGGCCCCUGUCCAAACCCUCCCUCCUUUCCCCCCGUCCCGAAUGCUUUAGGCCACCGUGCCCGCUCGCACCAAUUCCCGACAACCCCGCGGUCGCCACGCCCAUGGCCGCGCCCCGGCGCCAGCCGCGCAUGCGUGCUCGUGCCCUAGCCUCAUGCGCGUUUUGACCGUGUGCGCCCCGCCGCGUCUCCCUUCUUGCUGCGCUCGCGCCCGGACCUCUGCUCCCCACGCUGUCUCGUGUUGCCCGUGCCUCGUGGCCUUCCGCCCACCGCUACUCCCGCGAGCAACCGCUGCCACUAGAGAGAUGCUACCUGCUGCUUUUGCUGCUAGGUGUGGACGCCCGUGUCGUGCCCGCGAGCCUCUCUGGUCGCGCGCCCCUACACGCCUCACUCCCGCUCGCCGCUCGCCUACUGCCGCCGGAGCCGUCUACCGUCGCCCGUGCGCAAGCACCGCCUUGGCCCCUGCCAUGUGCCUUGUUGUCAUGCCCGCAGCUGCGCGCGCUCCGCUCGCUAGUUGUCGCCUGGCAGCGCCCGCCUUCGUAGUCUGCUACUCGCCCGACGACGUGCCCAUUGCUCCAGGCCGCGCCUGGCCCUGCUUGCCGUCCCGCGCGCGCCCCUGCGCCUGCCCGCGCUGUUUCUGCUGAAGCUCUUGCUUGCCUGAUGCGCUAAUACUAUUGCUGCUUACUGUACUGCUAGCUAGCUUUUCAAUUUUUACAUUGACUAACCGCCUAGACAGCCCCUAAUCUGUGGUUAAACAACUGGUAAAAUGACUAAGUAAAAUAUGAGAAGGUAGUACACUUGACAAAGCUCAAGUGUUUCCAUUGGACCAAAUCCAUUUGGUGCAUAGAUUAAAUUCGAUGAAAAUCACAAAGUGCUAUCUUUUGUUAGCAGAAAACAGAACUAUGUGCGUGAGUGUGUUGUGUGUGUGCGUGGGAGGCAGGGAUGGCUCACUGCCAAGUAGGGGAUGCUCCUGAUUAGUUUAGGUUGAUUAAAUACUUAGUGGUCAGAGUAGUUAGACUAAUUAGUACUACUUAGGAUAAUUGCUACCCUAUGUCAUGUGGCCCCCUAUGUUAAUUUUAACCCCUCCAUUUUAGUUUAGCCAUCAAUUAAAUUAUGUGCCAAUGACAUGUGGGCCACAUCCCCCCUUUUUGACUAGUCAUUUUGACUUGGUCAAAUUUUGAUUAUAUUAAAUAAAAAUAUUUCAGAAAAUCUUUAAAUCUUUGAUAAUUCAUAGAAAAUAAUCUGUAACUCGGAUGAAAAGGUUCUCUACAUAAAAGUUGCUCAGAAAAACGUGACGAACCCGAAUACGCUACCCACAUACCUGUCAGAUGCCUCUAACUAUAUGAACAUGGAGCAUUCCCCUUCAGUCAUCUGUUUGACAUAGGUCCGGAACCGGGAAAACAUUCCCGGUUGAAUUCCCCCUUCACCUGUAUCGUGUAGCCAUACAUUAGGUCACACCCGGCACAACAUAUUGCCAUGUUAUGCUUUGUGAUGCUUUGUUUGCUUUAUAUUUAUUGUUUCUUCCCCCUCUUCUCUUUGGUAGAACCCGAGACCGAUGUCGCCCCUGUGAUUGACUACGUCGACGACGACACUUCUUCCUUCUCAACAGAGCUUCCAGGCAAGCAAACCCCCCUUGAGCAUUCCGAUAUCGCCUAUUUCUUUUCCUCUCACGCUUGCAUUAGAACUGCUACUGCUUUCUGUAUGAUCCUGCUCUGAUGCAUAGCCUGUUGUUGUUACCUACUUUUAUACCUUACCUGCUUAUCCUAAACUGCUUAGUAUAGGUUGGUUAGAGAUCCAUCAGUGACCCCACCUUGUCCCACUUGCCUCGCUUAUGUUCGAUGACUCGAUCAACGUGAUCGACGUCCAGGCCCCGACACUGCACAUCACACCCCUAGUUGUAUGACUCUGUAGAGUUAUCAUCGACUGCCGACGGUGGAACCUCUUACAUCACUCCUGAUGAGAUCUCUGUAGUGUAGCUAUACGGUCGAGGUCAUCGAGGGUGAUUUCCUCCUUAACCACUUUCAUUACGGCUCUGUCGUGCAACCCCUCAAGUGUGAACCUCGAGGGUGGAUCCUCUUACGUUCACCUUGAUGAUAAUAUCGAGUGGAAUUCACCGGGGGUGAAUCCUCGGGUUUUCCCCUUGGUGUUAGACACACAGUUACUAUGGUUACUAUGACUUUGCACUGAGCCAUGUUACUAAAGACGGGUCGGACCUGAGGGAUACCCGCGCGAGCUUAAUAGCGAGUGAUGUGGAGUCGGGUUGACCUGGAAGGUGCCCGCGAGAUACUUACGAGGUGUGGUCGGGCAUUCUUAGCCCUUGCCGCAAGGACUCGAGACGGGGCGAUGGGGUCACAUUGAUCGUGAGUCUCUGCUUGUUACCGUGUGCUCCUAAUCCACUACUGUUUGGAUAUUUGAUCCGAGGGGCCUCUGGCCUAAUAGCACUAACCAUCACGUGGGCAUAGUAUGGGCGUUCUGCGUCGUAUACAUCAGCCGAAGCUUAAUAGACGUCAGCGACCGAGCAGCGCGCGCCGGGUUGGACUACGUAAGCUCCUGCCUUGUUGAAGGAGGUAGCUAGGUCUGCUCACGGCCGCGUACAUAACGUGCAGGAGUUCCUGGGGAGAUGGCCCGUGACCCCUGGGGGCAUAGGUUCAGUCCGGCGUGUUGGCCUCUCUAUUAAGCUUAGGUCGGGUUGCGGCGUAUUGUUUGGCCGAGGCCGGGCAUGACCCAGGAAAGUGUGUCCGGUCGGAGUUAAUCGAGCGUGGUGGGUAAGUUGGUGCACCCCUGCAGGGAAGAAAACAUCUAUCGAUGGCCUGUCCUACGGUAACGGACACUUGGAGUUGUAUCCCGAUCGAUACAACUAGAACUGGAUACUUGUGAUGAGAAGUGGUUAUGAGAAACAGUGUGUGAUGAUAAAUGGAUAUGAGAAUGGAUAGUAUGGCUCUGGGAUUGCUUUCUCACAGGGAGUUGAGAAAGGAUCUCUAGCCGAGGUUGAUAACACUUCUACUACUUUACUUUAUGCUACUCUACUCCCUCCUGUUGCUGGAAAAUGGUGGUUUCCAGAAGAUGCUAGUCUUCGAUAGGCUAGGCUUUCCCCUUCCCUUUUGUCAUUCUGUAGUUUAGUCCACAGAUACAACCCAUUCCUUUGAUACAGAUGCAUACUUAGUUUAGAUCUGAUGUAAGUCUUGUGAGUACUUUGGAUGAGUACUCACGGUUGCUUUGCUACUUCUUUUCCCCCAUACCCGAUUGUUGCGACCAGAUGACGGAUCCCAGGAGCCAGAAGACGCCACUGAUGACUACUAGUACCCGGAGGAUGCCUACUACUACGUGAAGACCGCAGACGACUAGGAGCAGUUAGGAGGCUCCCAGGCAGGAGGCCUUACCUUUUCGAUCAUUGUUGCUUUUGUGCUAGACUUCUUAAGGCAAUCUUGUCUAACUUAUGUCUGUACUCAGAUAUUGUUGCUUCCGCUGACUCUUGUGUAUUCGAGCUUAUGUAUUCGAGCCCUCGAGGCCCCUGGGUUGUAAUAUAAAGCUUGUACUAUUUUAAUUUGUGUCUAGAGUUGUGUUGUGAUAUCUUCCCGCGAGUCCUUGAUCUUGAUCGUACACAUUUGCGUGUAUUAUUAGUGUAGGAUUGAAUUGAGGGCGUCACAAGUUGGUAUCAGAGCCGUAUGCCUGUAGGAUCCCUCUUUCCAACUCCUUGGCCGAAGUUGAGUCUAGAAACCGAAAACCGUUUUACUAACUUGGUUGUGUGUCUUACGGGCCCACGUCGCCAUAUGGGUGCUAUUAGGAUCUUUAAUUCCUUGUCUAUACUCUACGACUCUGAUCUCCCUUCUAUUCGGGUUAAAUAAUUUAGCUAACUCUAACACUAGGUUCUCGUAACCGCUUCCUUCCGGAGAGCUCCUUCAACAUAGAUGAUCAUCUGCUACAUCAGAAGACUCUGAAGGUACUUCUCGAUGUAUCACGAGACCCUGUGUCCACUGCCUUGUAGUUUCUAACCACUGGUAACCCCCAUGAAUAACAUCCUUGCCGCUUGUACCUUCAUCCCCAGUUGCUCCUGUUGUUACAAGAUACCCUGAAAUACUUCGGAUAUUCCGAGAAUCCUUUGUGCCUGCUACUUUGCAGCUCCUUUUUCCGCAUGAAUACAUGUUUGAAUAAUUCCUCACACUUAUCGACGAUUUGUUCAUUCCUUGUUAUGCAUGUGCUUCAUAAAAUACCCCUAAAUUCUAUUCGACUUUCCGAGAAUCCUUUACAACCUAUUGCUUUGGAAAGUCUUGCGUGCCUGCACUAUGGUUAAUUCCAUAUUUCUAGUAAUCUCUGUUGACAUCCUCUGUCACUAUCCUUUCGAGUUCCUUGAUCCAAUAUGUUGUGAAUGCUCGCAAUCCUCAAUCAUAUCCUAGCAUUCACUCUUCCAGCUCAGACAUCACCCCGAACUUGAGCUUGUUCUUGGCAAAUCAAACCUUGAAUGAUUGUUGAGCUAUGUCUUUUCAACUUGCUUAUCUUUUGAUUAGAGCAUCUGCUUCUGAUCCCCUCAUUUGGAAAUCAUAAUUCCUUUGUAAUUAAGCUUUGAAAUUAUCCAUAUAUAUCUAUAAUCCGAUGCCUUUGCAUUAAUUCUUCCUCUGGUUGAGUACCGAUAAUCACAUCAGAUCCAUUGUGGACUGCCAAAUCCUUUGUUGGAUUAUUAUCCGAUAGUGACUCUCACAUUCUAAAUUCUCAUGAGUUUUUGCCUUGUUACAUAAUGCCUUUGGUAAAUUGUAUCCUCUCCUUUUGUCAACCAUGCUCUACCUUCGAGCUUGUGUUAUUUACUCUUUAAGUUUGUGGUAUACGUUCCUAAGAUGCCCCGAUGGGUUGAACCUAUGCCUUUUUCUAAUCUGUGUGAACCCGGAAACUCCUACGGUUCAUACCCUACUGGUGUUAUGCCAGAUAAAACUUCCAACACUACAACUUCUUCAAAGACAAGAAGUGAAUGAAAUGUUAGGCAUUGAAGAAGUGGGAGUCGGCCUUGAACUUUGUGUUCAUGCCCAUGGACACGAUGUAGAUCCUAUGAUGAAAGCUUCUUGUUAUAAUAACUAAUUCCUUGAUAUAAUAUCAUCUGGUCUCUGUGAACUGAUCCUUUACAAUUGUGGUUUCGACCAUAUUUCUCCCUGAUACCAUUUCUCAGACAAGUUAGAGAACUUGUCUUCUACAGAUCAAUGCAUAUCCGCAACCUCUAUUUUUAUCUUCUCUCGAGUAUUACCCUCCAGUAUCUCGAGAAUAACAAGGAACUCUGUUGGUUCCUAUGAGUCUUCAUCUAGUAUUACUUCUCACCGACUUCAGAUUUCCCCCCGGGUUAUGAGUUAUUAGUCACUCGAGAACAUCGAUAAGUGAAUCGAUUUUGCACUUCGAUUCAAUAACUCUAAGUAAUUUUUUUUUGCUUACGAGUAUAUUUGUCCUUCAAGUCAUUCCUAGCUUGAUCGGCUAUAUGAUUAUUGUGCUAAAUUUUAACUGUGCUACCUGGUCCUUCUUCCCGGAGCACAAUUUUUGACGAUGAGCUAAGCCUACAUCGUUCUUCCUCGUCAUAUCAUUUUGCCUUGAAUAGCAAGCUUGAUUUUGAGUUUGUAUCAUACCCGUGGUUCAAAUAACCUUUCGCUUCAUCAUUCCUUUGACUUGAUGUCAUCGCCGAUGGAUUGCAUUUUCAUGAAACCUCUCGACAAAUAUGUUGUGAUCAUCUCAACAAUUCUGAGCUCUUCUAGGUUAUCAAUCUAAUUCAUGAUGAGAAAUACCAUCCUUGCCCCCUCGAUGAAUUGUUGCUAAGCCCGUGGGCCCCAUCCUCAUCUUUUCCUUGCUGAAAUUGUAUGACUUAUUUUAUAAGUUGUUUCCGAUGGAUCCUUUGUGUAUCCGAAGUUUGACCUUUCCCUGAUGACCAUGUCAACACUAUCCCGAAGCAUGUGUGUGGUACUCUGGUCAUCAACAAGAACAUUGGGAGCGCAAUGCUAACUAUUCUUGAUCAAUUAUCCAAACAUUGUUGUAUGGGUAAACCUCAUAAAUUCCUUGCCCCUCUGUCUAAACGUUUUAAUACUUGGAGCCCUAUCAUGCUCUGCCUUUCCUUGGGGAAGUUGUACUCUAAUACUUGGGUAUAAACAACUUUCCUUUCCAUUGGUCUGAUUAUCAUAGUAAUCUUAUUUUCCUAUCCAUUGUUUUGUUUCACCUUUCUUGUAUUUUAACUUGUCUGAGCAGAGAUAAAUUCCUGCUUAAGUAAGCACCUCGGUGUACAACUCUAUCAGUAAGACCCUGUUACUAUUGUUGAUGACAUUUCGGUAACCACCGAUGGACGAGAACUUUGCCUAUUGGUCCGGCUCAUCUUACGAGCAGGAAAAUGGUUCUCUUCGUCCCACGCCCUUGGUACCAAACUUUGUUGCCAACAUAACUGACAGGCUAUCCUCUGACCUGCCUUGCUAUCAUGGCCGUUCAAGGUGUUAGCGCCUUCCUGCUUUUAACUCACAUGGUGGUCCCAUAACCCACAGUUCCACAAGAUCGAAACCUGACUCUCUUGUACACCCUUGUUUCUAACGUUAUUUCUCACGCUUGGCUUCAUAUGAAAAUCCCGAGCCACCUUCCGUGAGGCGAUCUAUUCUGGUAUCAGACGCCAUACUUAUUCCAUCGCUUUGAACCCCUUUCACCCCUUCUUUCAGGCAAUAAACGAUUGUCUACCAGGUUGAAGCUUCUUAUUGCAACCUCACCUUGCUCUCGAUGACUUUCUUGAAUUUCAACACGAGAGAUACCUCUAUGCCACAUUGAGGUACCUAUCUUGUGUUGAGCUCCGUCCUUCCAGAGUUUUACCCCCUUACUCCACCCCUUGAAUCUCGGGACGAGAUUUCUUGUAGUAGGGAAGAAUUGUGACGCUCGGAUAAUUAAGCUACAGUAAACCCCUGCUAAUGGUGCCACAUCAUCACAUUAUUGUUGCUAAUCCUCACUUUAUCCAGAUCACAAUUCUAAUUCAAAUUCAAAUUAAAGUCCAAUAUUCAAAUUUCUCAAACAUACAAACAAAAUGUUCAAAGUGUGGCAAAUAUUCCAUAACUAAUUAUGGUGGUGACCCAACACUUUUGAAAAGUAUUUUAAUCCUAUUUUGUGAAUAUAACAGUGGCUGAAUAUAAUUAUUAAAUGUUUUUAAAUUAUAAAAAUACUAAACUAUUUUAUUUGAACCUCAAACUAAAUGUGGCAGUGGUAUAUUUAAUAGUACUAAUUUGGUGUCUAGGUUUGUAUUUUACAAAAGUUAGAAUAAAACUAAAUAGAAAACAGAAAAUUAAAAAAAAGAAAUGCAAAGUAAAUAAAAAGAGAAAGGCCCCUGACUCCCCCGGGCCUCGGUCCACCCCCACUUGCGCCAGCCCAACUACCCCCACCCGUCUCCUUCUCCUCCUAUUCCCGUGGUGCGGUCGCUAUAGGGGCAUGGUUGCCCCCGACCGCCUCGCCGGCGACGCCGGAGAGUAUAAGGACCCUCCCAGACGCCUCGAGCCCUUCCCCAUCUUGCCCAAAAUAUCUCCACCCACUCCCCUCUCUCCUCCUCCGUCUAUCCCCUCGGCCAGGUCCCCUUUCCCCUCCUUCCGAGCUCUGCCAUGGACGCGACGCCGACACCGAUGUAGCUGCGGCCACCACUGUCCCUGAGCCCCUCCAAUGCAUCCACCUCCCCUAUGACAUCUACAUGGGCGGGCUCGAGCUGGGCGUCCCUGCAUCGAGCGGAUCGAUGCCAUCCUCGUCCUCGAGCUCCGCCACCUUCUUCAUCAACUUCGUCGUUGUCCUGUGCUUCGACUCCUCCCCGAGCAUCCUCUUGCACAACUACAGGUCCGGUGAGGC